UUUUUUUUUUUUCUUUUCUUUUCUUUUCUUAUUCUCUCUUCUUCUUUUCUCUUCGAGGCGGAUUGAUGUGUGGUUUGAUAUAUUGUGGAGGGAGGAAUAA
rnacentral:ribozyme from 1 species